AUCUGUAAUAAUGGUAGAUCAAAUGUUUCAUCUGUGUGAAACGUUUUGCUAAUCGAAAUGUUAAACCAACCACCAAUCCAUGUACAUAGAUGCACUACGUAAACAAAGUUGUUGGUUGAUACAUCGUAAUGUCCGAGUGCAGCAUGCUGCGAGAUUAAAUACUGUUUAUACAGUCAUGGAGAGGCUAAACAAAGUUUCUUGCAAGAAGAGCAAGUUGAUGGAUGCAUUCAACUUGGACAACGAAAUCAUAGUUUCGUUUGGCAUCAGACUGAGGACCAAGGGAGGUUAGAUAGGACCAGUGCAGGUUGAAGUGGAUUUCGAGUCAACAAGUAUAACAGCAAGAGAGGUACUCCAUUUACAGUGAUGAUGACAUAUCCCCUGGACCCCCACAACUCCACAAAUUUAAAAAUGUUUGAUCAAGUUCCGAAGAUUAAAGAACUACUGCAAAAUUUGGGACUUGGAUGAAAAACAUUAAUUCACUUAUAUGAGAUCAGAGCAGUGGAUGUUGUACAACAUACUUUAAACUAAAUUGAGAAUUUAAGGGAAAACAAGAAUAUUGCAUAGAUGUAAAGGAAAUUUCAAUGUUGAUUAUUCUUUCUUAGAUAUAUUAGUAAAAAAUGUGCACAUGAUAGAAUACCAAUUUUAUAACUUCAAUCAAUGUGUUUGAAUUUUCCUUGUAAUUCAAAAUUUAGUUGAAACAUACAUCAUUGAUACAUUAGUGUAUAUCAAAUUUUUAGAAAAGUUUCUUAAUGGAACUAAUUCACCCCCUCCCUUAUACAUACAGUGAACACAGACCUUCACCUGGGGAAAACUAGUUAGUUAAUGCAAUAUACAUGUACAUGCAUUCUCAAUUAUCCAAUAGUGAGUUUUUGGUCCAUUGUGAAACUACAAUUAGAAAUCUUAAACUUAUGAAAGACACACCUAUCUGUGAGGGCAAGAUGACUCAGAUGGACUUACAUGUAGUGAUCCAUGGGCAGUCCAUGGGUCUCUUUCCAUUGGUAUUAAUUAUUUAUUGAAAUAUGAAAUGGUUAUUUAAACAUAUUUGGUGUAUUAUACUGUAUAGUGAUAUAAAUUUCUAUCAAAAAAUAUGUAUAGGUAAUAGAUUUGUUCCAGUUAUUACAAGAAAUUGUAUGAAAAAUAACUAAAUAUUUAGGCAAUCACUGUGAGUGCGAAAAGGUCAACUGCAAUAGCACACACUAUAUAUCAUUCUUAAGUGGCUCAUAGAAACUUCUAGUAUUGUGAGUUUGAAUGCUCAAUGUGGUAAUUUGGGAAUGCUUAAUCAUUUAAGGUCAAAAGUUUAUCUUUGCUGACUGUAUCUCUUAAAAUUCAUUUCUAGAAGGGAGGGGGUAGGGUUACAAAAUCUGACAUAGUUUGGUAUAUUUUUUUUCUAUUCAAUAUUUUAGAUACUACUUGACUUAUUGUAAAAAGGAAAUAAAAUCAGAAAUUUUAUGAGCAGAAUGUUGUUGUUGUCAGAAAUUAUAAUGUAUGCCUGAUAGUAUUUGAGAAACGCCAUAUUUAAGGUAAA